rnacentral:rRNA from 1 species
CCUACGGGAGGCAGCAGUGGGGAAUAUUGCACAAUGGGGGAAACCCUGAUGCAGCGACGCCGCGUGAGUGAAGAAGUAUUUCGGUAUGUAAAGCUCUAUCAGCAGGGAAGAAAAUGACGGUACCUGAUUAAGAAGCCCCGGCUAACUACGUGCCAGCAGCCGCGGUAAUACGUAGGGGGCAAGCGUUAUCCGGAUUUACUGGGUGUAAAGGGAGCGUAGACGGGAGCACAAGUCUGGAGUGAAAUGCCCGGGGUUAACCCCGGAACUGCUUUGGAAACUGUGCAGCUAGAGUGCAGGAGAGGUAAGUGGAAGUCCUAGUGUAGCGGUGAAAUGCGUAGAUAUUAGGAGGAACACCAGUGGCGAAGGCGGCUUACUGGACUGUAACUGACGUUGAGGCUCGAAAGCGUGGGGAGCGAACAGGAUUAGAUACCCGUGUAGUC